UUUAUGGAGAGUUUGAUCCUGGCUCAGGAUGAACGCUGGCGGCGUGCCUAAUACAUGCAAGUCGAGCGAACGGACGAGAAGCUUGCUUCUCUGAUGUUAGCGGCGGACGGGUGAGUAACACGUGGAUAACCUACCUAUAAGACUGGGAUAACUUCGGGAAACCGGAGCUAAUACCGGAUAAUAUUUUGAACCGCAUGGUUCAAAAGUGAAAGACGGUCUUGCUGUCACUUAUAGAUGGAUCCGCGCUGCAUUAGCUAGUUGGUAAGGUAACGGCUUACCAAGGCAACGAUGCAUAGCCGACCUGAGAGGGUGAUCGGCCACACUGG
rnacentral:rRNA from 1 species